rnacentral:rRNA from 1 species
CCUACGGGAGGCAGCAGUAAGGAAUCUUGCGCAAUGGGCGAAAGCCUGACGCAGCGACGCCGCGUGGGCGAUGAAGGCCUUCGGGUUGUAAAGCCCUUUUCUGGGGGACGAGGAAGGACGGUACCUCAGGAAGAAGCCACGGCUAACUCUGUGCCAGCAGCCGCGGUAAGACAGAGGUGGCAAGCGUUGUUCGGAUUUACUGGGCUUAAAGGGCGUGUAGGCGUUCUGAUAAGUUAGAUGUGGAAUCCCCGAGCUUAACUCGGGAAUUGCAUCUAAAACUGGCAGGAUGGAGUCAUACAUGGGAGGGCGGAAUUCCUGGUGUAGCGGUAAAAUGCGUAGAUAUCAGGAGGAAGGCCGGUGGCGAGGGCGGCCCUCUGGGAAAUGACUGACGCUGAGGCGCGAAAGCGUGGGGAGCAAACAGGAU